ensembl:lncRNA
UGUCUCUCCUCAGCUCCUGCAGGUCAGAGGGCUCAUAACCACUUCCAGUUUGGUGCUGCUUGAUUCCAGUCGAUUUUUAUUCAAAUAAACUCUUAAGAGUCUUAAUGUGCCUCAGUUUAUCUUUGAACAUGGGAAUCAGAAAUACAGCAUUCAUUUUCCCACAUGGCUUCCCUUCCUCGCUUUCUUCCUCCCCCCACUCACCACUUUGCAUCAGUCCUCAGUGAAACAGCACAGGGCUGUACUAAAGAAACAGCCUCGGCCCCUCGUCUCAACCAUGAGGCAGGAGUAUGAGUGAGUCACAGCAUAGCUGCCUAUGUAAUUUUCAGGCCCAGUAUAAAAUGAAAACGCAGAUCCUCUUUUUCAAAAGUAUUAAGAAUUUCAAGAUGACGCCAGCAGAGCUUUAAACCAAGCUUGAGGUUCCUCUGUGUACCGGACCUGGUCGUGAAUUGUCUGUGGAAGCCUCAGCAUGCAGGUCUAAUUUUAACAAAAUUCCACCAGAAGGAAAGAAUUUGGAUGCCCACACAGUUUAUUAGAAUGGGAUUUGGCAUCUGGGACAAGUUCGCGAGGCUCAGCACGUCAGAUAAAGACAUGAACAUUGUCAAAUGGGUCAGUGGCAGUGGUUGCCUGAUAUGUGAGCUGCAGUUGCAUUAGGAAGAAUGGAGAAGGAAACAAAAUCGCCUGAGCCAUGGGAACCAGGCAUUUGUGAGCCCCAAGAAGUCUGUUUCCUGUUCUGGAGGAGGGGAGCUGUCCUGUGGAGGAGUUGUGAAGGAGGAAGUUGUGGAAGUGAGGGGUAGACCUCCAAUCCCACACCCUCACAAAGGUCAGACUUUAAUUAUUUUAUUGUAUCUUUUACAAAAACUGGAACCAGACAGAAUGAGAACAAGCCACAGAAACUCAAUCUUGGCUCCUCUCAGGCAACUGAGCCCCAAACCACAACCCUAAAGUCUAUUUGCUAUUGAACAGGAGAUUCAAGGACCAAAAAGCACUGGCACAUCGAGUGGGCUCGUUGGCUCAGUUGCCGAAUUGGAGACUUGGGGACAUUUGCCAACAGCCUGCUCCGGAACACUCUGUCCCUGCCCAAAUCAACUGCAGUAAUUAGCUUUGGUCAUUAGUUUCAAGUAAAUAAUCUCCUUGUCACAGCUGGGAUCCUUUAUCAGAACGGCGGACAUGAGGGUUUGCAGAAGCAAAUGAUUUUUCUUCCCCUCUGAAUUCCCCGGAACACUAAGUCAUGACCCAGAGAUCUGAAUAAGGCAUAGAAACUCCCAAAGAUGCCUAAAAUUUGGAGGAAUAGCUCUGCCUAAAGGGCGGAAUCACCGGGUAUUAACAACAAAUGUAAAACAACAACAAAACUUUUGAAAUGGUUAUUGAUCUUUUCUUCGACUCAAAGCUCAAGUUCAGAUCAACAAACUUGCUGAAGUAUGUGCUGUAUACAUGCCAGGAAAUGUACUUGCUACAUGCCAGGCUCCCAAGGAGCCUAGGAGGAGACUGACAAGGAAACUGGUAAUAAAUGCACUGGUGAUAUACUCUGAUAGCAGAACGCAGAGAGGGAGGGCACCCUAACCCAGCCUGCUUCUUCAGGGAAGACUUCCUGGACAUGUGACUCCAACACUGAUUUAAGAAGGGAAGUAGCCAUCAGGAGCACUUCUGCAAGACUCACAUAGGAGGGAGGCAUGGGGUUGAUUCUGAGCCUUCUGAAACAACUGGCAAAACACAUGUUCUCAACCUUCUAUGCCUUGGUAUCCCAUCAUUAUGGGGCUUCCCAGAUAGUGGGUUAAAAAAAACCCGCUGUCAAUGCAAGAGACAUAAGAGACUCAGGUUCGAUCUCUGGAUCAGGGAGAUCCCCUGGAGGAGGGCAUGGCAACCCAUUCCAGUAUUCCUGCCUGGAGAAUCCCAUGGACUGAGGAGCCUGGUGGUCUACAGUCCAUGGGGUUGCAGAGUCAGACACGACUGAAAUGACUUAGCAAGCACACAUGCAUGCAUCCCAUCAUUAUGCCCAUUUCAGAGAAGGAGGAAGUGAAAAGAGAGACUUCAGCUCUGUCCUUGGAUUGCCUGUGGGGAUGGAGUUAGAGGCACAGUGCUGGUCGGACCCCCACCAGCCUCAGGAGUGCCCAUGGUGGCAGA